GACUGUACUGUUCCUUGCCUGAGCCAACUCUUGAGUAAGUCAGCAGCAAGCCUGUGCCAGUAGCCAGGACUGAACAGGCCACCCCAGCCCAAGCUGUUUGCAGUGGAGGAGGAAGGCCUCACUGCACCUAGAAUGGCUCCAGUCGAGGCAGCAAGAGUGCGGCAAAGCCAGGAUUCAGCUUUGCAAACAUGUCUGACCAGAUACUCAGGAAAGCCCACAACAGAAUCACAAAAGGAAGAUUGCUCCUUGCUGCUGCUUCAAGGACAACUGGAAUAAUGCCUCAGGAAGAAGAAGAGUUUGGCUUUACACCCCACUUUUCUCAACCAGAAGGAGUCUCAAAGAGGCUUUCAAACUCUUUCCCUCCCCCUCCCCACAACAGGCACUUUGUGAGAUAGGUUCAUAUGAUUAUGGAAUGGGUCCCACUUACACUGCAAUUCUAAGAACACUUACCCGUGAGGAAGCCCAGCUGAAUAAAAUGGGACUUCUGAGUAUGCCUGCUUAGAAAUGCUCCCUUGGUAA